rnacentral:rRNA from 1 species
UACAGAGACUGCAAGCGUUAUUCGGAUUCACUGGGCGUAAAGGGUGCGCUAGGCGGCCGGGUGUGUCAGGAUGUGAAAUCCCGAGGCUUAACCUCGGAACUGCGUCUGAAACUACUCGGCUAGAGUAUUGGAGAGGGUAACGGAAUUCACGGUGUAGCAGUGAAAUGCGUAGAUAUCGUGAGGAACACCAGAGGCGAAAGGCGGUUACCUGGACAAUUACUGACGCUCAGGGCACGAAAAGUAU